rnacentral:rRNA from 1 species
GACGAACGCUGGCGGCGUGCUUAACACAUGCAAGUCGAACGGAAAGGCCCUGCUUUUGUGGGGUGCUCGAGUGGCGAACGGGUGAGUAGCACGUGAGUAACCUGAUCUUGACUUUGGGAUAACUUCAGGAAACUGGGGCUAAUCCCGGAUAGCAGCUCCUGCUGCAUGGUGGGGGUUGGAAAGUUUCGGCGGGUGGGGAUGGACUCGCGGCUUAUCAGCUUGUUGGUGGGGUAGUGGCUUACCAAGGCUUUGACGGGUAGCCGGCCUGGGAGGGUGACCGGCCACAUUGGGACUGAGAGACGGCCCAGACUCCUACGGGAGGCAGCAGUGGGGAAUAUUGCACAAUGGGCGCAAGCCUGAUGCAGCAACGCCGCGUGCGGGAUGACGGCCUUCGGGUUGUAAACCGCUUUCGCCUGUGACGAAGCGUGAGUGACGGUAAUGAGUAAAGAAGCACCGGCUAACUACGUG